rnacentral:misc_RNA from 1 species
UUUCUUCUUCUUCUUCUUCUUCAAUGGACAGCUUCACCGCCAAGGAAGGCUUUGUAUUCAAUUCUUUCUUUACAACAAAAAUAAGAACAAUCGAAUUUUUCUUUUUUCUUGGAGAGAGAGAGAGAGAGAAGGGAAGACAAAAACCCUUAUAUUGUUUUUAUUGAAAUGAGUGGUGUGGGUUUUUUGUGGAGCUCUUUUCUUUGUUUCUGCUUGGAAAAAUAGAGAGAAUUUUUGAGGCUGUCGUGUUUCUUUAUACAGUGCAACUAAGGCCUUCUUGUGUUGUGUGGUUCUCUUUUUAAGUUCGUUAAGCAGGAAGAGGAAAAUCCUUUCUUGGGGCUGAUGGUACUUGUUCAUCUCUCUCUCUCUUUCUAGCCUAGGAUACAGGUGGAUGCUGGUGCUUGUUUAGUUUUUGUGAUGAGAAUAAUAUACAUGCGUGCUUGAUCCUGUGUUGUGAAAAGGGUAUCUUAAAUUCUCUCUUUUCUAUGGAUAUUUUUAUUGCAUUUUAAUUUUUGGUUGUACUGGAGGUGCUUUCGAUUUUUUGUGGUGCAAAGUGCAUAUGAACACAAUCAUAUGUUAUAGUUCUGGUGGACGAACUAGAGAUUUUGAAAAAAAUGAAGGAAAAAAGUCUGUAAAAAGGGUGUGUUGUGUUUACUUUGCUAGUCCAUAUUUUCAUAAUAAUGAACUUUGAUUGGUUUUGUUGGUGGUAAGGUGUCUCUGUUAUUGUCUGAUGAAAAAAUUUACGUGCUAAGAGUUCAUUUUAUUUGCUUUGAUGCCUAGCAGUGAGAUAGCACUUCUAUUUGAGAAGCUGAGUGGUUGGGCUUUGGAUUGAUGAGAAGUUGGGUUCUUUUUGGUUGUCCAUGAAAAUGAGGUUUUGAUUGAAGAUGGUAACAGUAAAGAUGAGGGACUGUGGUAGGAGCUGGAGAAUCCCUCCAUUUCUUGGAUGCUUUGCACCUCUAGGGGGAUGAUCAUGGAGGAUUUUUCUGGGUCUUCUUGGCAGAAGUCUGAUAAUUCUAGGGGAUUGAGUACCUCCAGAGUCUCAGAUUGGAA